AGUAGUCGGCAACAGUCACAACGUUUAGUUGCGCGUGCGCCUCGGUCGAGGCGAGCGGCUUGUUAGCUGCCGAAAUUAUUACCCGAUAAUGUAAAUUAAUAAUAAAACCCGAAAAAUUAUCAAACCGGAGGUGCCCACUCGCUAAUUAGUCCACACUAUGGAGUGCUACACAUCUGACAGCUGCGAUAGCGACAGCAGGGAGGAAAAAACGCUCGAUUUAUCAAAUAGAGCUUUGGAUUGCGAGACAAUAUCGUCUGAAAUGGAUAGCAUUAUCGAAGAAAAGGGCUGUGCGUCGAAAUACGAGAUCUUUCUGCUCUACAGUAAUCAAAUAGAGGCCCUGCCGAGCUCUAUUAACAGUUUUAUCAACCUCAAGAUAUUAGACAUAAGCAAUAACAGGCUGACCUCGCUCCCUGAUGUGCUCAAACAUUGCCCGCUUACAUCACUGAUAGCCAAACACAAUCAUCUGACCAACGAGUCGCUGCCGAAGUGUUUUUACUCAUCAAAGAAUACCCUGCGAGAACUCAACUUAAGUGGGAACAAGUUGAAUUUCUUCCCAGAACAAGUAUUACAAUUAAUAUCGCUGAAAUACCUUUAUUUGGGGGGCAACAACAUAGUCAAUAUACCAAAGGAUAUCUGGAAGUUGAAUAGCUUACAAAUAUUAUCAUUAGGAGGAAACCAAAUAACCGAGGUACCUGAUUCUGUGGGAGGUCUCACAUCGCUUCAGGCCUUAGUUUUAAGCAAUAACCAAAUAGAACAAUUGCCAGCUAGCAUUGCAAACCUCAAGCAACUCAGGUCGCUUCUUAUCCAUCAAAACAAACUGAAGACCUUACCAACUCAAAUUAUAAAGCUGAAAUGCCUAUCAGAGUUGAGUCUUCGCGACAAUCCUCUAGUGGUGAGAUUCGUGCGAGACAUGACGCUGCAGCCGACGUCACUGCUCGAACUCGCGGGCCGAACGAUCAAACUGCACGAGAUACCAAUCCGUGAGGGAGAAGUGCCAGCAUCACUGAUCAAGUAUUUGACAACUGCCCAGUGUUGCGUUAACCCGAAAUGUAAAGGUGUAUUCUUCGAUAAUCGGGUUGAGCACAUUAAGUUCGUCGACUUCUGCGGCAGAUAUCAGAUCCCACUGUUACAGUAUCUGUGCAGUUCCAAGUGCAUCACAGGCAGGUGGGAGAGCCGGGAGGUGGACAGCAAUGCACCGUCGCAUAUGAUGAGAAAAGUUCUUUUGGGGUAAAAAGUGUUGUGCCUACCAAAUCUUAUACGUAAACAUGGACUGGAUUUUAUUAAGCUUGAUGAAACUAUACAGGGUGCUCGGAAGUAUUUCCCAUAACUGAGUUAGCCAAACUUAUUCAUUGACAAAUAUCAUGAAGUAGCUUACUAGUGAAGUGUCAGUUGCCAGUCGUCGAUAACGAGUUAACGACAGUCUUACCACUACGAUUACGUAUUUAAAAUGUAAGGAUAGAUCUUUAUCUAUCCUUAUGGCGUUAUUAUUCCGACUAUCCAUGUAAUAUUGUUACAUUACAUGGAUAGUCGAAAUUAUUUGAAGUACUUUGUAUGAAAACAUAAAGUGUUUUUUAGUUAAAAAAAACGUCAUUAUGUUCGGCUCCCAUUAGUGGACUUAUCAACACCUUGAAGUUAUGAAAAAGAACUCCAAGCACUCUGUAUAUAAAUAUACUUAAACAAUACCAGUGGCGUGUACAGGGUUUUUAACUAGGGUAAGCAUUAUACAUAAAGAUUAUACAAAAUGGAAAAUUCCUUCUCUGAUAAUUUUGUAAGGACUCCACAGGGUAUUUUGUAUGAAGUGCACGCCACUGAACAAUUACUAUACUCACAUCACUAUC
rnacentral:misc_RNA from 1 species